rnacentral:rRNA from 1 species
CCCGCACAAGCGGUGGAGCAUGUGGUUUAAUUCGACGCAACGCGAAGAACCUUACCAGGGCUUGACAUCCCCUGACCGCGUAUGAAAGUACGUUUUCACCCUCGGGUGACAGGGAGACAGGUGGUGCAUGGUUGUCGUCAGCUCGUGUCGUGAGAUGUUGGGUUAAGUCCCGCAACGAGCGCAACCCUUAUCUUUAAUUGCCAGCAUUCAGUUGGGCACUUUAAAGAGACUGCCGGUGUUAAACCGGAGGAAGGUGGGGAUGACGUCAAGUCCUCAUGGCCUUUAUGUCCAGGGCUACACACGUGCUACAAUGGGCGGUACAAAGGGUUGCAAUACCGUAAGGUGGAGCUAAUCCCAAAAAGCCGCUCUCAGUUCAGAUUAGAGUCUGCAACUCGACUUUAUGAAGGCGGAAUCGCUAGUAAUCGCGGAUCAGCAUGCCGCGGUGAAUACGUUCCCGGGCCUU